UACGUAGGGUGCAAGCGUUAAUCGGAAUUACUGGGCGUAAAGCGUGCGCAGGCGGUGAUGUAAGACAGGUGUGAAAUCCCCGGGCUUAACCUGGAAACUGCAUUUGUGACUGCAUCGCUAGAGUACGGCAGAGGGGGGAUGGAAUUCCGCGUGUAGCAGUGAAAUGCGUAGAUAUGCGGAGGAACACCGAUGGCGAAGGCAAUCCCCUGGGCCUGUACUGACGCUCAUGCACGAAAGCGUGGGAGCAAACAGG
rnacentral:rRNA from 1 species